rnacentral:rRNA from 1 species
CACCUGCUGAAUUUAAGCAUAUAAGUAAGCGGAGGACAAGAAACUAAACAGGAUCCCCAUAGUAAUGGCGAAUGAGCGGGGAUAAACUCAGCAUGGAAAUUGGGGCCUUUGGCUUUGACUUGUAAUCUGGUGAGGCAUUGCCAACAGAGGCGCAUAUGUAAGUCUCUUGGAAAAGAGCAUCAACGAAGGUGAGAGUCCUGAUUGUCAUGUGCAGCCCCCCUGUGCACGGUGUGCCUUCUAAGAGUCACGUUCCUUGGGAUUGGAGCGCAAAUUGGGUGGUAACUUUCAUCUGAAGUUAAACAAUGGUUUGGGACCGAUAGGAAACAAGUGCCAUGAGGGAAAGGUGAAAAGGACUUUGGAAAGAGAGUUAAAAGUGCCUGAAAUUGCUGAAGGGGAAGCGAAUGGAACCAGUGGUGCUGGGUGAGAUUGUCACAUGCUGCAAGGAUUGGUUGCUGCCACAACGCAAGUGUGCUGGCAAUUUGUGAACUGCUAGUGUGUGGUGUGUCUUACCUAGUGGGUCAUUGUGGGUUUAUGCAUUAAGAUAAAUCAAAGCAAGCGGGAGCAAGUUUACGAGUUUGUGAAUGUGUGUUGUUAUGCUUGUGCGUAAGCUUUAGUGUUUGUCUGGCUGCAGGGCUGUCCAUCCUCAAGCUUUGCUGUGGUUGCGAUGAGCAUAACCUUCUGCACAGAUCUUGACGAAAUGGUUUCAUUCGACCCGUCUUGAAACACGGACCAAGG